UACGGAGGUUGCAAGCGUUGUUCGGAAUUACUGGGCGUAAAGGGAGCGCAGGCGGCUUGGCCAGUCUGAAGUGAAAGCCCGGAGCUCAACUCCGGAAGUGCUUUGGAUACUACCAAGCUUGAGUUCGUGAGAGGAAAGCGGAAUUCCAGGUGUAGCGGUGAAAUGCGUAGAUAUCUGGAGGAACACCGGUGGCGAAGGCGGCUUUCUGGCGCGAUACUGACGCUGAGGCUCGAAAGCGUGGGGAGCGAACGGG
rnacentral:rRNA from 1 species